UAGGGAAUCUUCGGCAAUGGGGGCAACCCUGACCGAGCAACGCCGCGUGAGUGAAGAAGGUUUUCGGAUCGUAAAGCUCUGUUGUAAGAGAAGAACGUGUGUGAGAGUGGAAAGUUCACACAGUGACGGUAACUUACCAGAAAGGGACGGCUAACUACGUGCCGA
rnacentral:rRNA from 1 species